CCGCCCGUCACACCACGAAAGCCCGCUGCAACAGAAGUCAGUGAUCUAACCCGCAAGGGAUGAAGCUGCCAAAAGUUGUGGUUGGUGAUUGGGGUG
rnacentral:rRNA from 1 species